UCCACGGUAGCUCAAUGGUUAGAGCAUCAGCCCGACAAGUUGAAGAUUGUGGGUUCGGUCCCCACCCGUGAAU